rnacentral:rRNA from 1 species
AAGGUCUCCGUUGGUGAACCAGCGGAGGGAUCAUUAAAGAGUGUUAACACACCCUAAACCCAUGUGAACAUACCUCCUGUUGCCUCCGCGGAUAACAGGUCGGCCUCUGGAGAAUUAGUACUACCCUGUACUCUCCUGGACUGUCGAAAAGCCCGGAACACAAAUCGUAUCCGGGGCUGAGUAGCGACCGGAGGCCUUCCUGCCCGCGAAAGGUCCGACAAACACUUGUUUUAUAAACCUGCAACUCUGAAUUAUAAACAAAUAAGUUAAAACUUUCAACAACGGAUCUCUUGGUUCUGGCAUCGAUGAAGAACGCAGCGAAAUGCGAUAAGUAAUGUGAAUUGCAGAAUUCAGUGAAUCAUCGAAUCUUUGAACGCACAUUGCGCCCAUUGGCAUUCCAGUGGGCAUGCCUGUUCGAGCGUCAUUUCAACCCUUAAGCCCCUGUAGCUUAGCGUUGAGAGCCUACCGGUCCCCCGUGGCCUGUAGCUCUCCAAAGUUAGUGGCGGAGUUAGCACAUACUCUAGGCGCAGUAAUUCUUAUCUCGCCUCUGUAGUGGUGCUGGCCCCUGCCGUAAAACACCCCCUAUUUUCAAUGGUUGACCUCGGAUCAGGUAGGAAUACCCGCUGAACUUAAGCAUAUCAAUAAGCGGAGAAAAGAA